GGAAAGCAAUUUGAAAGUGAGGCACACCGUAGCAAAACCUACGUGCUUAAGAAUAUUGCUGCAACAGUCUCCGCCCUGCCACGGUCUCCGACCAUCCACGGGUUUCAAGAUUAUUGCAGUAAUCAUUCUUCUCCUUCAAUUUCUUGUCUAUCGGCAAAAAAUUCUGCUUACCAGGUCAUACAGUCUGAUGAUCGAUAAUUUAGCGGGUCA